UUGGUUUACUUUCAUGGCCUUGUAGCAGUAUUUGGCUGGGCUCAGAAGCUAAGCAAGGUCAUCCCAGGUUUGUAUUUGGAUGGGAGCCCUCCAGGAGGUCUGGACCUGUAGGCUAAA
rnacentral:rRNA from 1 species